CCCUAGCCCUGAUAGAAGCGGUAUCCUUUUAUUUUUUUUCUUUAGAAAAAAUAAAAGAUACAAGCGGAUAGCAGGAAAUAGC
rnacentral:sRNA from 1 species